AGCGAACGCUGGCGGCAGGCCUAACACAUGCAAGUCGAACGUACUCUUCGGAGUUAGUGGCGGACGGGUGAGUAACACGUGGGAACGUGCCUUUUGGUUCGGAAUAACUCAGGGAAACUUGUGCUAAUACCGAAUGUGCCCUUCGGGGGAAAGAUUUAUCGCCAUUAGAGCGGCCCGCGUCUGAUUAGCUAGUUGGUGAGGUAACGGCUCACCAAGGCGACGAUCAGUAGCUGGUCUGAGAGGAUGACCAGCCACACUGGGACUGAGACACGGCCCAGACUCCUACGGGAGGCAGCAGUGGGGAAUCUUGCGCAAUGGGCGAAAGCCUGACGCAGCCAUGCCGCGUGAAUGAUGAAGGUCUUAGGAUUGUAAAAUUCUUUCACCGGGGACGAUAAUGACGGUACCCGGAGAAGAAGCCCCGGCUAACUUCGUG
rnacentral:rRNA from 1 species